UACGGAGGGGGCAAGCGUUGUUCGGAAUUACUGGGCGUAAAGGGCGCGCAGGCGGCUGCUCAAGUCAGGCGUGAAAGGCCUGGGCUCAACCCGGGAAUUGCGCUUGAGACUGGGCUGGCUUGAGUGCGGGAGAGGAUGGUGGAAUUCCCAGUGUAGAGGUGAAAUUCGUAGAUAUUGGGAAGAACACCGGUGGCGAAGGCGGCCAUCUGGACCGCAACUGACGCUGAGGCGCGGAAAAGCGUGGGGAGCAAACAGGG
rnacentral:rRNA from 1 species